AAAAGAAAAAAAAGUGAAAUUUCCUUACAACUUACAUUGACAAGUCCUUGAGACAGGCAGAGUGACCUUCCUCUAGGACCUCAACUGCCUUGCUAUUAAUACUUUGCUAAGGGCAAAAGGCAAAUUUAGCUUAAACAUAAUCGCAACCUCCAGGAUCCUAUAAGUCUUCUUUAACAUGUAAAAAUUCCUUUGGAAAGUUCCUUUAUCUCUACCCCCCAAGAUAUAUGUUAGCAAUCAUCCUCCAAGAGUAUGGCCCCCUGAUAUACAUCUGAAGGGUCUCAUGACUAUGGUUUUAUUAGACAGUAAUAAAUGACCUUUUCCUAACAAUAACUAGCCCCCUCAAGCUCCUGGAAACUUUGCUCCCAAAUGUCCUUAGAGACUUACGCUAUCCCUAACCCCCUCCCAACUUCCAAGUAUAUAAUCAGCCACUCCUCACAUCCCCAGUACAGCUAGCUCUCUUUGCCCGUGGGCCAACCACUUUUUGCACCAAAGACAUCUCAAGAAUUCUUUCUUGACCAUUUGCUCUGAACCCCACCAUUUCCACAUCAAAAGGGCGGGCGACUCCAUCAUCACUCUGAAUCGAUCGCUGUGUAACAAUAUAAAUUGGUUGUUUUCAUUUUUUAGUGAGCUCUACGCCCAACGUGGGGCUCAAACUCAGGACUGCGAGAUCAAGAGUCGCAGGCUCUACCAACUGAACCUGCCAGUUGUCUUCAUUUUAACGAAGCCCUGUAGACACUCUCAUGGCCAAUGCAACCACUCAGACUGCGGCCCCACCCCCAGGAACAUCAAAGCAUCCAAAGGAUUGAGAAGAUUAUGCCCUAAAGCCUCCUGGAAUGACUGAAAUGUGCCUCAUUACCAGCCCAAGGAAGAUGAAUGACACAGGUCAGAGUUAACUGAGUGCUUCUUGACAAAGACACAAUGCAGCACGCAACAAGGCUCAUUUAACACCCCAUCGGGAAGCCUUACAAGUUACAGCUUA